UGGGGAAUAUUGCACAAUGGGCGCAAGCCUGAUGCAGCCAUGCCGCGUGUGUGAAGAAGGCCUUCGGGUUGUAAAGCACUUUCAGCGAGGAGGAAGGUGGUGAGCUUAAUACGCUCAUCAAUUGACGUUACUCGCAGAAGAAGCGCCGGCUAACUCCGUGCCAGCAGCCGCGGUAAUACGGAGGGUGCAAGCGUUAAUCGGAAUUACUGGGCGUAAAGCGCACGCAGGCGGUUUGUUAAGUCAGAUGUGAAAUCCCCGGGCUCAACCUGGGAACUGCAUUUGAAACUGGCAAGCUAGAGUCUCGUAGAGGGGGGUAGAAUUCCAGGUGUAGCGGUGAAAUGCGUAGAGAUCUGGAGGAAUACCGGUGGCGAAGGCGGCCCCCUGGACGAAGACUGACGCUCAGGUGCGAAAGCGUGGGGAGCAAAACAGGAUUAGAUACCCUGGUAGUCCACGCUGUAAAACGAUGUCGAUUUUGGAGGUUGUGCCCUUGAGGCGUGGNUUCCGGAGCUAACGCGUUAAAUCGACCGCCUGGGGAGUACGGCCNCAAGGUUAAAACUAAAGGAAUUGC
rnacentral:rRNA from 1 species